ensembl:snoRNA
AAGCCAGCCAAUGAAUCUGCUUUACCUGAUUGUGUUUGUGCAGACGUACUUUAAAAACUGGCAAUAGUAAAGCCAUGUUACGAGCCUUAAGGACAUUGAAGUCGUUAAGGUCCCUGAAAGUGGCUAUAACA